rnacentral:rRNA from 1 species
GUGGGGAAUCUUCCGCAAUGGACGAAAGUCUGACGGAGCGACGCCGCGUGAGUGAAGAAGGCCUUCGGGUCGUAAAGCUCUGUCAUCAGGGACGAACGGCCGGUGGAGUGGAAAGCCACCGGAUUGACGGUACCUGAGAAGGAAGCCACGGCUAACUACGUGCCAGCAGCCGCGGUAAUACGUAGGUGGCAAGCGUUGUCCGGAAUUAUUGGGCGUAAAGCGCGCGCAGGUGGGAUCUGAAGUCCAUUUUUAAAGUUCGGAGCUCAACUCCGUGAUGGGAUGGAAACUGGGAUUCUUGAGUACCGGAGAGGAAAGCGGAAUUCCCCGUGUAGCGGUGAAAUGCGUAGAUAUGGGGAGGAACACCAGUGGCGAAGGCGGCUUUCUGGACGGUGUCUGACACUGAGGCGCGAAAGCCAGGGGAGCGAACGGGAUUAGAAACCCCGGUAGUCC